rnacentral:rRNA from 1 species
CGGUGAAUACGUUCCCGGACCUUGUACACACCGCCCGUCGAGCCAUGGGAGUCGGGGAGACCUGAAGCAGUAGGUUAAAGACACUGUUAGGGUAAAAUCGGCGACUGGGGCU